AAUAAGAAAUAAAAUAAUUAAAAUUAAGCUGCUAACUUAAUUUUUAGUGGGUUAAAUUCCAUUA
rnacentral:tRNA from 1 species